AGUCGAGGGGUAUAGUUUUUCGGAACUAGAGACCGGCGCACGGGUGCGUAACGCGUAUGCAAUCUACCUUUCACAGAGGGAUAGCCCAGAGAAAUUUGGAUUAAUACCUCAUAGUAUUAUUGAGUGGCAUCACUUAAUAAUUAAAGUCACAACGGUGAAAGAUGAGCAUGCGUCCCAUUAGCUAGUUGGUAAGGUAACGGCUUACCAAGGCGACGAUGGGUAGGGGUCCUGAGAGGGAGAUCCCCCACACUGGUACUGAGACACGGACCAGACUCCUACGGGAGGCAGCAGUGAGGAAUAUUGGUCAAUGGGCGCAAGCCUGAACCAGCCAUGCCGCGUGCAGGAUGACGGUCCUAUGGAUUGUAAACUGCUUUUGUACGAGAAGAAACACUCCUUCGUGAAGGAGCUUGACGGUAUCGUAAGAAUAAGGAUCGGCUAACUCCGUGCCAGCAGCCGCGGUAAUACGGAGGAUCCAAGCGUUAUCCGGAAUCAUUGGGUUUAAAGGGUCCGUAGGCGGUUUGGUAAGUCAGUGGUGAAAGCCCAUCGCUCAACGGUGGAACGGCCAUUGAUACUGCCAGACUUGAAUUACUGGGAAGUAACUAGAAUAUGUAGUGUAGCGGUGAAAUGCUUAGAGAUUACAUGGAAUACCAAUUGCGAAGGCAGGUUACUACCAGUGGAUUGACGCUGAUGGACGAAAGCGUGGGUAGCGAACAGGAUUAGAUACCCUGGUAGUCCACGCCGUAAACGAUGGAUACUAGCUGUUGGGGGCAACCUCAGUGGCUAAGCGAAAGUGAUAAGUAUCCCACCUGG
rnacentral:rRNA from 1 species